GACGAACGCUGGCGGCGUGCCUAAUACAUGCAAGUCGAGCGCAGGAAGCCGUUCCGAACCCUUCGGGGGGACGACGGUGGAAUGAGCGGCGGACGGGUGAGUAACACGUAAAGAACCUGCCCAUAGGUCUGGGAUAACCACGAGAAAUCGGGGCUAAUACCGGAUGUGUCAUCGGACCGCAUGGUCCGCUGAUGAAAGGCGCUCCGGCGUCGCCCAUGGAUGGCUUUGCGGUGCAUUAGCUAGUUGGUGGGGUAACGGCCCACCAAGGCGACGGUGCAUAGCCGACCUGGGAGGGUGAUCGGCCACACUGGGACUGAGACACGGCCCAGACUCCUACGGGAGGCAGCAGUAGGGAAUCUUCCACAAUGGACGAAAGUCUGAUGGAGCAACGCCGCGUGAACGAUGAAGGCUUUCGGGUCGUAAAGUUCUGUUGUAAGGGAAGAACAAGUGCCGCAGGCAAUGGCGGCACCUUGACGGUACCUUGCGAGAAAGCCACGGCUAACUACGUGCCAGCAGCCGCCGUAA
rnacentral:rRNA from 1 species